rnacentral:lncRNA from 1 species
UAAUUUAUAUUUUGUCAAUUAUACUUCUUUUAGAAAAAGACGACAGAGAUAUUUCUCUAAAAGUUAUGAUAGAAUGAGGUUUAGUUUGGUAUUGAGUAUGAUCUGACGUUACUAAAUAGAAUAGAAUUGGGGUAAAAGUGUUGGAUGUGGCCCACGUAAUUUAUUCAAGACGAUUUAAAAAGAUACAGUCGGUAUAUUUAAGUUGAUCUCUAAAAAUAUGGUAGAUCUAACGGUUAUGAUGUAUUUGGACAAGUUCUUGAUGGACGGACGUGAUUUAUGUAGCACACUAAACUUUAGCAAAUUGCAAGGUUCUCGUGUUCGAAUAGUGUUCUUAGUUAUUCCUGGUGUUCUUGAGGGUCGUUGACUGUGUUCCGAUCUAUUACUCGCGUCUUGAGG